rnacentral:rRNA from 1 species
CGAACUGAAUGUUGGGUGCGAUUUGGCACGCAGCAUCGAGGCUAACGCGUUAAGUUCGCCGCCUGGGGAGUACGGACGCCAGCCUGAAACUCAUACGAAUUGACGAGGGCCCGCACGAGCGAUUGAGGAUGUGGAUUAAUUCGAUGCAACGAGAAGAAUCUUAUCUGGCCUUGACAUGUCGAGAACUUUCCAGAUAUGGAUUGGUGCCUUCGGGAACUCGAACACAGGUGCUGCAUGAAUGUCGUCAGCUCUGGUCGUGAGAUGCUGGCUUAAGUCCCGCAACGAGCGCAACCCUUGUCCUUAGUUGCGAGCACGUCAUGAGGGUAACUCUAAGGAGACCGCGGGUGACAAACCGAAGGAAGGUGCGGAUGACGUCAAGUCAUCAUGGCCCUUACGGCCAGGGCUACACACGUCCUACAAUGAUAGGUACACAGGUCCGCAAGCGGGCGACGCUAAGCCAAUCAAGGAAACCAUAUCUCAGUCCGGAUUGAAGUCCGCAACUCGACUCCAUGAAGUCCGAAUCACUAGAACUCUCAGAUCAGCAUCGCUGCGGUGCAUACAUUCCCGGUCCUUGGACACACCGCCCGUCACGCCAUGGUAAUUUGGUGUACCACAAGCAGGUAGCUUAACCUUCGGGAGGGCGCUUGCUACGAUGUGUCGGAGGACUGGGGCGCAGUCGUAACAAGGCACC